GGCAGAGCCUGGAAGGAACCCGAGCUGCUGAGUCGCCCGGCAGGACGCUACCCUCCGAACACCCAGGUGGACUGUUAGUGAACAAGAGGGAAGCUUCUACUGACCUGAGGUGCUAAUAUUUUGGGGUUGUUUGUUACAGCAGUUGGACUGUCCUGAAAGUACUUUUAUGGGCAUAAAGAAGUUAAGAAAUCUGCUCAUGGUCACACAACUAGUAAGAGAUGGCAGAUCUGCAUCCAAGUGGUUUGUCCUUAGAAACCAUGUUACGAAUUGCUGUUCAAUUAUAUUCCCUUUUUAUAAGUUCAUUUUUAUCAUAUAUAACAUAAGCUUUUUCUCUGCCUGACUUACCGUGUUUGAGGGAGGUGGCUGGACAGAGGUCCAGAGUUUGGGAGAGAAGAUAGUUUCUUCAGAUAAAUCACUUGGUUUCACGUCUCUUCAUUAACCAUGGAAAAGGGAGGCUCUGGUGCAUACGCAGCUCCCAGGAAGCCUCUGUUACUCUGUGAAAGUUUACAUUCAGAGGUUCCUCAGGAGUUCUUCACGCUCCAUUAGCAGUCACCCCUCACACUUAGCGGCUUAAAGCACUCAUGCUCUCUCCCAGUUUCCGUGGGUCAGGAGGUCAGGAGAGGCUCAGCCCGGUGGUCCCUCGCGAGGUGGCACUCGGGAUGCCGGCUGGCGCUGCCUCCUCGGAAGGUUUGGUCAGGGCCGGAGGGCUUGCUUCCAGGGGGGCUCACUCACACGGCUGGCAACCGAGUGGGGCUGUCGGCAGGAAGCUUCCUCCCCCCACAGGACUGGCUCACUGCCCUCACAGCACCACGUCUUGCUUCCCCCAGAACGAGCAGGUCCAGAAACCGAGGAGGAGCAGCAUUUUUUGACCAGCACUGUAGCUGCCCAGUGGUGCCACAGGGAACCCUACAGGAGCCGAGAAGCUUCACGGGGAUUUGCCAGUAGGAAUGGAGGUGGGACAGAUGCGAGAAGCUACAUGCCCCCCACCUCAGCCUCUUCUCCCAGGCCUCCACCCCGCAAGGACGGCAGAAGUGCUGGCCGGCUCCUGUGUUUACCGCAUGGUGCUAACACCUCCACUGCCGCCUUAGAAGAGACUGUGCCUAGUUUAGCUGGUAACACCAGCACCGAGCACAGUGCCCGGCUCAGAAGAAGCACAACGAGUGGUUCACUGAGGUGUUAAAAGAUGGGAGUUUCUGUGUAGACAUUAAACAGUUAUUCUCAACCAAGCUACUUACUCAUAAAACCUCAAUUAUUAAUGAUUUUGGGGGGAAUGCAUCUCAGCUAUUCCAACCUGCCUUUUCAAAGUCUAGAGCUGUGUUCCAUCUCUUAGAUUUAAUUAAUGAGCAAUAAUUACUCUGAUUUGCAAGUCCCAAUGCCUAAAGGCAUUUGGAAAAAAGGUACAGUAAUUUUGGAUAAGCAACUCUGAAUACAAAUAGACUUGUGGCUACCCAACAUAAUCCAUUUCCUUUUGAAUGAUCCAUUGUAUUUUAGAACUUAUAAAAACACAUUGAUCUAAGUCUUAUGAAACUUUUGGGGAGAAAGCUGC